rnacentral:lncRNA from 1 species
UAUAAAGAUGAAUUUUGGAAAAUCUGUUGGCCAGCUUUCCCAGUGUCACUUGUAAAUGUCUUUUUGUGAAAAGUAAGUGCCAAAGGGCCAUUGUAACUGCCCAGGAUUUUGGGCCUCAGAAGAGUUAUUUUUUAGUCUCUCCUGAUCGCCUCCCCUGGCCCAUCCAAUUCUUGCCAGUGCAUUGGGUUGCCUUGCUCUCCUAGCUCCCUCCCACCCCUGUUUUUCAAUCCUUAAUUUUCUUUCUAUUGCUGAGAAAGGUAUCAACAGGAGGGAGAACCUUUAUAAGUCCUAGCCUAGAGGCUUUUAAACUUGAAACAGCUACUCUUCUUUUUUUAUUAAAUGGUCAUUGGUGUCAGUGAUCCUAUAUGUAUGAAAAAUAAAAGUGAAAAGAUGUCCUCUU